CUCUGUAAGUAGGUAUGGGUACAAGUUGUGCGUCUCCCAACUGCAUGGAGCUGUUUAGAAUCCCAGCACUGGAGUCCUCUCAGCUACCCAAACUGAGAUUUUCCCUCUGUGAAUAUUGUUGAGCUCUUCCCGAGCAAGACCAAAGGGCCUCUUUUUGCCUAUGAAGUCUCUGUCAGACCUGCGAGUAUUUCUGAAAACCAGUUCCUGCCCUUCCUGGCUCAUGACCACUCGUUCCUGCUCCCAAACCUCAGUUUACUGCUCCAUCAGUUGUGCCAAUGUAAAGUUACCUUGAAGUGGACCGGUUCUGGCCUGAAGAUCCUAUGGCUUCCUUACCAUGGCUCUGAGCCUGAGUUAAGCUGUGCUGAGCAAGCGCAUAUGUCUCUAUACCAGAACUACUUCAGACGACAGGAAAAAGGAUAUGUCCUCUGGGGAAGGCUGAACACCUCCUUUGUGAUAGCUACAAAUGCUUUGUUUUAAAUUGGAACUAUGAAUUCUAAGAGAUUUUCAAAUUGAUGGACUUAGGUGGAGAAUGGAGCAUGUGUUAGAGGAGUUUAUCCUGGAAAAAAAAGUCCACUGUUUAUUUAUAUCAUAAAGCUUGUUGGCUUGUGCUGUAUCGACUUCAGAUCUUUGUUAAUCCUGUCAUCCUCAGAAGUUUGGGCAUUUUUUGUUGUGAAGGGACUAUAGACAAAAUACCGUAUAUUUAUUUAAAAUAGUUUCCAUUUAAUGACACCACAGUGAAUGUCAGUGGAAGGACAAAGAAGUUAUUUUCACCAUAAACUUUUUGCUUUACACUUUACACAGCUCAGAUGAUGCGAAUGGAAGAGCCUGUUGUACGUUCUGGUGCUGGUCAUUCAUGCAGUGAUGCUGUGAAGUUAACAGGAGUUCUGGUUCCUUUGUAGUUCUCAGCAUCAGACCCACUGCAUGUGGCAGUAUUUCAGUCCCAAGCAAAAUUUAUUUGAAUUUGAGAUAAAUUUAAUUAGGCUCAUUUAUAGUGAUAAAAGAUUUUGUAAAUAUAGGUCUGAUUUGAAAUGAUGAACCUCAGCUGAUCCAAAAUUUUGCUCUUUCAAUAGCUGCCAAUAUAGACAGCAGUCAGAGUUCAAACUGAAAGAAUUACUAUCACAUCACACUCGUGCUGUCUUUGGUUAUGUACACUGCUGCACUUCGCAAAAUGGACUGCCUAAGCAUGUAUUUUGUAUACUCAUUACUGGGCUCCUACUUUAUAAACUCAAAUAAAAUGUAGAGUACCUCUGAAUCA
rnacentral:lncRNA from 1 species